rnacentral:rRNA from 1 species
CUUACACAUGCAGUCGAGCGAUGAAACACCUUCGGGUGUGAAUUAGCGGCGAACGGCGUGAGGAACACGUGAAGAAUCUGCCUUCAACUCUGGGAUAACUCCGGGAAACCGGGGCUAAUACCGGAUAUGAGCCUUGGUCGCAUGAUCGGGGCUGGAAAGUUUUUCGGUUGAAGAUGACUUCGCGGCCUAUCAGCUUGUUGGUGAGGUAAUGGCUCACCAAGGCGACGACGGGUAGCCGGCCUGAGAGGGCGACCGGCCACACUGGGACUGAGACACGGCCCAGACUCCUACGGGAGGCAGCAGUGGGGAAUAUUGGGCAAUGGAGGAAACUCUGACCCAGCGACGCCGCGUGAGGGAUGAAGGCCUUCGGGUUGUAAACCUCUUUCGGUAGGGAAGAAGCGAAAGUGACGGUACCUACAGAAGAAGCACCGGCUAACUAUGUGCCAGCAGCCGCGGUAAUACAUAGGGUGCAAGCGUUGUCCGGAAUUAUUGGACGUAAAGAGCUCGUAGGUGGUUCGAUACGUCGGAUGUGAAAAUCAGGGGCUCAACCCCUGACCUGCAUCCGAUACGGUCGAGCUAGAGUUUGGUAGGGGAGACUGGAAUUCCUGGUGUAGCGGUGGAAUGCGCAGAUAUCAGGAGGAACACCGAUGGCGAAGGCAGGUCUCUGGGCCAAUACUGACACUGAGGAGCGAAAGCGUGGGGAGCGAACAGGAUUAGAUACCCUGGUAGUCCACGCCGUAAACGGUGGGCGCUAGUUGUGCGAACCUUCCACGGUUUGUGCGACGCAGCUAACGCAUUAAGCGCCCCGCCUGGGGAGUACGAUCGCAAGAUUAAAACUCAAAGGAAUUGACGGGGCCCCGCACAAGCAGCGGAGCAUGCGGCUUAAUUCGACGCAACGCGAAGAACCUUACCAAGGCUUGACAUAUACAGGAAUAUGGCAGAGAUGUCAUAGCCUGCAGGUCUGUAUACAGGUGGUGCAUGGUUGUCGUCAGCUCGUGU